UGAAAACACAUCACAAACACAAUAUCAUUACAUGAAUGGCUGAGGGGAAACUUGGCACUAGCUGAAACCCGACACACGGAAGUGAGAGAGAAUUCCUCCCGCAGAUGCAAAUCCACCUUCUGCAUGUUUUGUGCUGUGGGGAAAACCCAAGUACUCAGAAGACACUCAUGUCUAUCUUAGGACACACCAAACUUGCAGAAUGGCUCUUUUCCUUAAGGCACUCCGCGCAGGGUUGCCAGAUGCUUAGUUUCAUUUAAAAGUGCUGUUGCUUGAUGUUUCAGUAAACCCUACUGAAAUAA